GGUCAAGUUAUUAAGGGUGCAGGGCGGAUGCCUUGGCACUAGGAGCCGAUGAAGGACGUGAUAAGCUGCGAUAAGCUUCGGGGAGUUGCACGUAAACUUUGAUCCGAAGAUUUCCGAAUGAGGAAACUCACUUAGAGUAAUGUCUAAGUAUCAUUAAGUGAAUACAUAGCUUAAUGAGGGGAACUCAGGGAACUGAAACAUCUAAGUACCUGAAGGAAGAGAAAGAAAUUCGAUUCCGUAAGUAGCGGCGAGCGAACGCGGAUUAGCCCAAACCAAUAAAGUUUUCUUUAUUGGGGUUGCGGACAUAUCAUAACGAAGAGGUAUCGUAAUUGAAGAGGUUUGGAAAGACCCACCACAGAAGGUAAUAGUCCUGUAUGUUAAACGAGAAGACUUUAGAUAUGAUCCAGAGUACCACGGGACACGUGAAACCCUGUGGGAAGCAGGAGGGACCACCCUCCAAGGCUAAAUACUACCUAGUGACCGAUAGCGUAUAGUACCGUGAGGGAAAGGUGAAAAGAACCCCGGGAGGGGAGUGAAAUAGAACCUGAAACCCUGCACUUACAAGCUGUGGAAGCACAUUUCUUGUGUGACCGCGUACUUUUUGUAGAACGGGCCAACGAGUUACGUUAAGUAGCAAGGUUAAGCACUUAAGGUGCGGAGCCGUAGCGAAAGCGAGUUUUAACUGAGCGUUCAGUUACUUGACGUAGACCCGAAACCGGGCGACCUACCCAUGAGCAGGAUGAAGCGAAAGUAAAAUUUCGUGGAGGUCCGAACCCACGAGCGUUGAAAAGCUCGGGGAUGACUUGUGGGUAGCGGUGAAAUUCCAAUCGAGCCCGGAGAUAGCUGGUUCUCCCCGAAAUAGCUUUAGGGCUAGCCUCAAGGUGAGAGAUACGGAGGUAGAGCACUGAAUGUCCUAGGGGGUAUUGCACCUACCGAAGACUAUCAAACUCCGAAUGCCGUCAUCUUAUACUUGGGAGUCAGACUGUGGGUGAUAAGAUUCAUAGUCGAAAGGGCAACAGCCCAGAUCGUCAGCUAAGGUCCCUAAAUGUAAGUUAAGUGGUAAAGGAUGUGGGAUUGCACAGACAACCAGGAUGUUGGCUUAGAAGCAGCCACUCAUUCAAAGAGUGCGUAAUAGCUCACUGGUCGAGUGAUCCUGCGCCGAAGAUUUCCGGGGCUAAAACUUACUACCGAAGCUACGGCAUCAGUAAUGAUGGGUAGGGGAGCUUCCCAUACGGGUUGAAGCAUGACCGUAAGGACAUGUGGACAGUAUGGGAGUGAGAAUGUUGGCAUGAGUAGCGAGAUGUGGGUGAGAAUCCCACAGGCCGUAAACCCAAGGUUUCCAGGGGAAGGUUCGUCCGCCCUGGGUUAGUCGGGACCUAAGCUGAGGCCGAAAGGCGUAGGUGAUGGACAACAGGUUGAUAUUCCUGUACUACCGAUAACCGUUUGAGAGAAGGGAUGACACAGUAGGAUAAGCUAAGCACACUGUUGGUUAUGUGUGCCCAAGCAUUGAGGCAGUCAAAGUA
rnacentral:rRNA from 1 species